GCAAAUAUAGUUUAACUAAAAACAUUAGAUUGUGAAUCUAAUUAUAGAAGUUCAAAUCUUCUUAUAUGCC
rnacentral:tRNA from 1 species